GAGUUGAGCAGGGGAGCUGUGGGACAAGUGUGAAAGCCAUUGCUAGUGAGAAAAAGCAAUAGUAGCAAUUAGAUAGUGAAACUGAACAGUGCCCUUUAAUAAAUAAUUCACCUCACUUCCCAAUCGUAUCUACACUGUGCCUCUCCUCCAAACCCACUUACAGACCCUCUUCUGCCCUUGGAGUCAUUAUUGCCCUCAAUUCAAGCGUCUGAAAGCAUGCCUGAUGAAACGCAAUGCUCCGUUCCUGGCUAGCUGCCACUGGCCACACCCUACAAAGAAUCCCAACAGCCCAGUUCAAAGACUUGUCAUUAGAGAUGCUGUUCUAUCCAGCCAGCCAACAAUUCUCAAGUGGAGUGGCUCUAGAAACUCAGCUCUUGAAAACAUCACGGAGCUUUAUCAGUGACAAGGCCAAGAGGUUGCAACUACUGUUAUCUUUGGACACACAGAAGAAUCACCUGGUCCAGUUGAGUGAUAAUCACCUUAUAGACCAUUGCUGAGAUGAUUGGAACACGUGGGAGAGUUGAGCCUAUCAUGGGAAUGAACACACAAGCAGUGGGUCAGUGUGAAUCACCACAGAAAGCUCAGGCUGGAUUUCAAACUCCAGCAACACCACAAUCUCCUGAAACAAAGACUCCCAAGUUUCCUGAUUGUCUAACUAGCUAGAGUCAAAGGUAAGCACAGAAUUUGAGAGAUAUGCAAAAUCCAGAUGACAGGUAUCAGGAAUGUUGUAAGUAAGGGCAUAUUUGGUAAAAAGUCAGGUGGGCUUAUGCCAUAUAAAUAAAGCUUAGGCAACAUCAAUAAUCCGAGGAGGA
rnacentral:lncRNA from 1 species